UACGAAGGGGGCUAGCGUUGUUCGGAAUUACUGGGCGUAAAGCGUGCGCAGGCGGCUUCUCAAGUCAGGGGUCAAAGCCCAGAGCUCAACUCUGGAACUGCCUUUGAGACUGAGAGGCUUGAGUACGGGAGAGGUGAGUGGAAUUCCCAGUGUAGAGGUGAAAUUCGUAGAUAUUGGGAAGAACACCGGUGGCGAAGGCGGCUCACUGGCCCGAAACUGACGCUCAUGCACGACAGCGUGGGGAUCAAACAGG
rnacentral:rRNA from 1 species